AUCUAGUUGAAUAGUCCCAAAUAGGACGAAGUGCGUGUCCUGGAU
rfam:Schistosoma mattheei strain Denwood, Zambia genome assembly, scaffold: SMTD_scaffold0001483